rnacentral:lncRNA from 1 species
UAAUCCUCUCUAUUAUUUUGUUGAGGCCUCUAAUCUUUACCGCAAUCUCACAACAUGUCUUGAGAUUCGAAAAGCAAGAGAAAGUUGCAAAUCCAUUGCAUGUAAUUAAUAUUCAUGAUAAUGAUGAUGAGUGUUCUCCUAGUAGAUUGCUCCCUUUAAACCUGGCCAUGUCGAUUAUAUCAUCAGCAUCAUACAUUGCAUCCUUCAGUUCACCAAUCCAAUUACUAACUGCUAAGUCUUCAAUCCUCCUCUGGUCAGCAUCUUUCAGAAAAUACUGUAUUUGUGUCAUUGUUUGUUGCAGGUUACUAAGCUCUUGUUUAACACCUAGUAUCUGUAUCGCUUCCUCUGUAAUAAGUUCUUGGAGCUUUUGGAUGCAUGAUCCCGCAAAAGAAAAUAAUAUGGUUGCCAUUAGGUGAAUCCGUGAAGCAAACCCACCACCACCAAUAUAUCUUUUCAGAGCUAAGAAAACCACUAAUAUGAGGGACUAGCUAGUGAGAUUCCUUGAACAAGCUUUCACAGUGUUAUUCCAUAAACGAUUGAACUUGAACCUGAAAGUUAUAAAGUUUACAGCAGUAUGUCAAAUCCGUACGCACUUGAAAGACGUACAACACCACAUGCUCCUAUGAGUACUCAUUAUAUUCUGUAAACUACGACUUGACAUAAUCUCACACUGAUUGCAAAGAGAAUAAAGGAUAUGUAAAUGAUGAAAGCACCUAGGAAAAAUUCACACCAUGCACUAGCGGGCAGAUAGACAAAACCAUCUUGGGUGGACUUAGGUGCAUCCAUCCAUGAGUUUUAGACUCCCUUAUGCACUAUAUUCCAGACUAAAAUCCAUGUAAUGGAUCUUUGAUUUCCUUUCACUCUAGCCAUUUGUGGAUAUUAUUCUUGUUUUUUGUGCAUUUAUAACUUCAUCUACAAUAAGGACUGAUUGCUAUGCAAAUAGGUCUAUCCUGCCUACUAGUAGAUAGCACCUAGCCUUCCGGAACUCAGGCUUCUGCUUGUAGUUGACUGAGUUUACAUGUUUUUGCUUUGACUUGCCAUUAUAUCUGUAUGUGGAAAGUAUACUCCUUAUUUUUUCAGUGUAAUUGACUCUUGUGUGCACAUUUAUUUCUGACUUAAGCGCUAGUUCCUGCUCAGCUAAAUAGAAAGAUAAACAUCAAAUGACUCAAACUGACUGAUUUGCAUAUUCUAGCAAUGUUUCCUUUCUAGCAACCUAACUGGUCACAUAUUUCCAUGCUCAUAUAUUUUCAACCCUCCUCUCAUACUAAAAACAGCUUAAAAUUUUCAAGAGUUGGUCGACUCAUUUAGCUUCUUUCAUCCAUAAAUCUACUCCAGAAAACCUGACCUUUCAAGUGCUAGUAAUGUUACAUUGCAAGUCAAAAGAAUAUAGGAGGCUGCAGGAUUUCAUUUCCAUGAAUGAGAAAUGGACGUAACUUGUAACAAUUCUUGGAAGAAGUUAGAAGAUUCCAGUGCGCUCAAGUGCACAAGCCUUACCUGAAUCACAGACCUAUUUUCAACAGGCCUGACUGACAAUAGAAGUCAAGGAUGCAAGAUCAUCCACCAGCAGCAACAACAGUUUGUUUCUGAAGGUCAACUCAAUACUGAAGGAAGAGGAACAAAGACUAAUUGCUCAAAUAAUAUCCCUCAAUGAACUGAACAUCGAUAGCCAAUAUGUGGUCGUCACCAUGAAAGAAAAAUGGAUAAAACUGAGAAGGGUAGUUGAAUUGAGAAAUAAAGAAUCUCUGGAUAGUACAGACCUUUGUGCACUACCAGAACUGCAAGCAGAUGACCUUAUUCUUCCUUGACUGGAGAAGACGCAGAGGAUCACUUCAAGCAGCAGUGUGAGGCAGUAAAUUCGAUAGAAUUCACAAUGGUAUCCCUCGAAAAAAAAAUAUCAACCGACAAUGAUACACGCCUGCAACUGCAACACAAGUUUGUGAGACUACUGACACUUCGUAACUAUGAAUUAAUCUUAAUGGAACACAUUGUGCUAACCAAUUAAUAGGCAGAUACAGAAUGAAGGAAAUACACCUCUUUCAAAGAAAGUACUGUCUCCCAAACCAGAUUGCCUCGCAUCCUCCUCUCCUUUUCCUCACUAUAGCAGAGGAAAUGUGAUGAGUAUUUAUCACUUCAAGCAAUUCACCAUAAUGAAAUAGAAACAGAUAAUUAUGAUGAGCCCAUCACCACAAAAAUGAGUAGUACAGUGUGGUAUGAGGUAUAAGGAGUUAGCAUUCUGUCAUUUUAUUUUGUGCUUUAAAACGAUGUAAUAAAUUGGGACAAUAUUUAGUAUCAUGCAAAAGAAACCUCUACUAUGAUUGUUUGAUUCACCAUGAGCAGACUUAUGGUAAUGACGAUGGAAACCAUGAGCAGAGCAAAAAACAUACCCUGAGCAGAGGCAGAGCAAACCAGAGCUAAAGGACGCAAAUCAGCAGAGAGGUAGCUGGAAACUGGAGAGCCAUCACUUCCUGGCUAAAAGCUUCAUCUUCCUUGUGUCACAUGAAUUGUGCAGCUGAAGGAGCAACUACUCUUCAAUCAUCUCUCUAACAGAGAGAAAAAUGAAGUGGUGCAUAAUCAACACAUGCAAAUCAAGCUUGAGCUAGGAGGAGAAAGAUUAUGAAAUCUGAAUCGUUAUGGACUAACUGUUCAAUUCGAGCUUACCAAACUGAAAGGAUAUGAUGCAGAGACAGAGGAGGAGGAUGAAAACGCAAGGAGCAGUUCCUACUGAAGCAUCCUCUCUGUUCCUCCUCUUAUCGGCAUCACUUGAACAUCGAGAAAAUGAAUUCUCUGGCAGAAAAUAGUGGACAAACUAUAGAACAGAUAAAUGUGUGACAACCACACAAUCACUGAAAACCAACAGAUCACACGUUAACUCCUGGAAAAAGUGGAGACACUAGAAAAUGAAUUCUCUAGCAGAAAACAAGUGCAUGAUCAACGAAAUGAGAAGAAAUAGGUGCAUGAUGAAGACACGUAUAUGAAGCGUGACUUAGGAAGAGAGACAGAGGAAAGAAAACAUCUGAACCCUUUAUGGACCAGACAAUCAAUUUGAGGUUACCAAAUUAAACAACGCAGAAACAGAGGAGCCAGUUGAAAACCCAAAUAGCACUUCCUACUCAACCAUCAUCCCUGUUCCUCCUCUUAUUGACAUCACUUGAGCAGCGAGAAAAUGAAAUCGUGCAGGAAGUUUGUAUGUAGAUUCACCAAUACUUCCCCCUUGCAACAGCGUUGGAUCUCAUUGAUCAGAAAAGCUUGGAAUUUCAGUGCAGCGGCAAGUGCAAUGACCUAACCUUGUAUAAGAAGAUGCAGAUAUGUCAUUGUUGAACAGGUCAUCUGUGGUUGGCGUCGGCGGCCGAGCGGGUCAAGGUCUCCGUCCUCUAGCAUGGGGAAGGGGCCAUGUAGCGUCGUCUAGCCAGUGACAUGCAACUGUAACGAUGGCACGUUACACCUAACAAGGGUAUUGAAAUCUGCCUAAUCUCCAUGCCCAGACACAAGGUCAAGGUCUGUGGUAUGGCCAUCGCUGUCAAGUGUGGAAGGUGAUUGACAAACAAUUGCAACGUCCCCUUGUUCAGACAGCAGUACUACACAGGCAGUCUGAACUUGUAUAGGAAUUGUGGCAUUUUCUGGCCCGAUUUUGAAACCCAAAUUGCUGUACGAUGAAAUGAACAAAAGCACUGAACAGUCAGGCCCCUGCAAAUUUUUCCAGGAUAUUUACUUUAUUCAUUCAAUUCCACUUUGCUGAGUGUUUUUUUCUCUUUUGCCGAGGGCCAAAAUUUGCCAAGUGCCUUUGGAUAUUUUUGUCGAGUGUAAGUCUUUGCUAAGUGUUUCCACUAACAACACCGGGCAAACAUACUAACGGAUGUACACGUGGCACGUUCUUUGCCGAGUGUCCAUGCGCGUUUUUGCCUAGUGUCUUUUGAUCUGUUUACCAUGUGUCGCGUUGUUUGCCGAGUGUUUUUGUGUUGACACUCGACAAAUAGCUUCUUUGCCGAGUGCUUGAUAGAAUACACUCGGCAAAGAACUUGGCACUCGGCAAACCCACAAUUUCCAGUAGUUUUGGGAGAGGUUCUUCACGUCAGGGAGCUCAAAAACGUGUCACUUUUUAUCUUUGAAUAAGAAACCUGUGACAUUGAAUGUGGCUUUAAAGAGUAAGCUGCAAAGUGGAAACUGCUUCCGAUAAAAGUAGUUGGAACUCUUUUUUUAAAAAAAAAGCAUUAUGCUGGAAACAUAUAAACAGAAAUGAGUACGAUUUCACCCAUAUUACGUGUAAGUUGCAGGCACCGGCCAAGAUAUGAUUUUAACCUGCAUUUCUUGUCGCUACUACAGAAUGAAUCUGCCUCGCAUUUCUCCUUGGUUGGUUCACAGAAGAUGCAUGACUAAAAUAAGUAAGAGCAGUUUUUUUUAUAUACAUUAAUGUUGGUAGGAACAGCGAAACAAGAGCUCACUUUUCCUAGCAGCAACAGAAAGCACGCAACAGCCGAUGCAGUUCUUCGCAUUACAAGAUCACAAUCUACAACAGGUGCAAGUUCAUCACAGAAUUAAUUGAGAAACUCAAGUAGCAGUGUAGCACACGUUUUCAUUCAUACAUACACCACAAGGAUGGUCAAACACUUAAAUAACAAGACGCAAGCCUUCCCACAGUCUAGAAACAAGAGAGGAAGCCGUCUGCUCAUCUUGAUUAAUUGCUGUGGUUAGCUCAUAUUUUAUUCUUUUUAUUGAUGGAAGUGGUUUGCUCAUCCUGAUUGCUGUGGUUCUUGAACAAUCAUUCUCCAGUCCUUCAUCCAGAAGCAUGCACUCCUUCCAUGCAUACAACGUCAUGUAGCUUCACGACCAAUCACAUGAUUAAGGAAAGAUAGCUCCAGUCACUUCCAAUGGCAAGAAAACAGAGCACGAAUGGAAAGCGGAGGAGAAAUAAAUAUGCAAAAUAUCCAGUGAAUGGUCAUACCUUGCACAUUCGUAGCUAUAUAAAAGUAUCACUCCUCCCAAGGGUAGACAUCCAGGUCUUCUCCGUGCAGCUGUUGGUGACGCUCUUGGAGUCCAGCUAGCCAUUGUGAGGAGACAUCUUCCAUAUCCUCUGUCAGAAACAGCUGGUGCAACUUGUCCAAACCCUCAACACACCUCAGAGCUUCACAUAGACCUACACGCAACAGUUUCAUCUGGGGAAUAUUUGAGAUCCUCUCCAGGCAUUCACAAUAUGAGACUGAAAGUUCCUCAGACAGAAAUGGGAAGUUCUCCACCACCUUAAUAUUGUCCAUGAAUUUUAAUCGGAGCUCCUUCAAGCUGGUGGCUUCCUGUCCAAGCUGCCGUGGAAGAGCUCUCAGCUUGGGGCAGCUGUAAAAAUCCAGGCCCUUCAAACGUGGCAGCAGCUGCAUCCUUGGAGGUGGGGCUUCCCCCUUUUGCUUUGCAGCAGCUCCAUCCUCUCCACCUUCCUUACCUGCUGCCGUUGCUUCUUCUUCUUCAACUACAAAGGUCCACUCCUCCCAGUUGGGCAUAUACCCGAUGGACAAAAUUUCAAGCUUGGGGAAAGCAACUGCCUCUGGAGAUCCGAAAUUACCCACCCCCAAGCCAAUAAAUUCAGGUCCAAUCUUGGUGACUGCAGUUGCUCCCUGGAUUCUCAGGAAUUUCAAGUUGGGAAGGUGCCCGAUUGGAGGAAGUUGCGUAUAGGAUUUGCAAUGUUUAAGUAUCAAGUAUUUUAGUGAAGGCAAAUGUCUAGCAGCACCUAACCAGGUAGGAAACCUCCGACCACAAAAUCGCUUCAAAACUAGAGCUUCCAGGUUUUUUGGAGGUAUUAGCUGAUCAAAUACCUUCUCAAUAUUACUAAUAACCUCUUCAGAGUAUGGUUCCUCCGCACAUUCAGUGCAAUAUAAAUAUAAUUCUUUAAGAUGCUUUUUAUUAGUUAGUAGUGAAUCUAUACUGCAAACAGCAGAUGCUUCCAAUUUUGUAAUAAGAAGCUGCCUCAACUGCAAAAGAGGACCCAACUCUUCUAGAUUCCAUCCAUCUUGCAUUGCAGUGCUAUAAUCACUUCUACCACAAAUUGGAAAUCCAUCUAAAUUAUUGAGGUAUUUCAAACCCCCAAUACCUUUUGGAACCUUAUUUAUUGCCGAACCUUUGAGACCAAGACUCCUUAAGUUAAAUAAUCUACAGAUUGCUAAAGGAAGGCUGUGCAAACUGUCACACUUGUUCAAUUCCAAUACCUCAAGGUUUUUGAGAGAACCAAUAGACUCCGGAAGGCAAGUUAUGCUGGUGUCAUUAAGAUUCAACAAGCGCAAAUGAAUCAAACUUCCAAUAUAAUCUGGAAUAUUUUCUACACUUGACCCACUUAAAUCCAAAACACGAAUAUAUGGAAAUCGCUUGAAAAUUGAAGAUUCAACUACCAAUGACUUGCCACAGAAAUUUAUUGAAGUUCUCACUUUGAGUUGAUGCCUGUCCACAAUAGGUAAAGAGAUCAUAUCAUUGCAUGUUACAACUGACACACGUCGCAAUUUAGAUAUACUCCUGCAAUCCAACGAUCGUGGGUCUCCAAAGAAACACUCUUCUCUUGAUAAAUGCUGAGCAAGUUGUCUUAAGAGGUCAUGCAUUGUGCACCUGUAUGGUUCUGCAUACCGAGGAUCUGGUAGGAGGAGGUUCCUUGAGACCAACUCACAGAAGUAUUCUUCUGCUGUAUCUUCUAGUAGUUGGUUAUUUUGCUUUUCAAUAAAGCCCUCGGCAAUCCAGAGCCUGACAAGAUCAUCACAACGUAGUGUCCAAUCUUCAGGAUACAAAGCACAGUAAAGAAAACAUUGCUUCAGGUUUUGUGGUAGCUGAUCAUAACUCAAGUACAAAGCACCUCUGAGUUCAGCAGGGAGCUUACUUAUGGACCAAGCAUCAUUGUCUAGAAUCUUCUGCCAUUCACUCUCUGUUGUCUCCUUCACUGCAAGAACACUAGCCAUAGUCCUAAUUGCAAGAGGAAGGCCACCACAUUUUCGAACAAUUUCCAUUCCUUUGUCCUGCACGUUGUGCACUUCUUUCUCAUCAGAUAUGUUCAUACUCUUCCAAAGCAGCUCCCAUCCUACUUCCACUGACAUCAAUUCGACUCGAUGCAUGUGUUCCACUCCAAUUGCCUUUGCAACUGUAUCAUGUCGAGUUGUUGUUACAAUUGUUACUUGAGCUGCAGCAUUGAGUGGAGUUCUUAGUAAAUUGGUCCAUACAUCAGACUCCCACAAGUCAUCCAACACAAGGAAAAAGCUGUCUCCUUCAAUGGCUUCUGCAAGUUUGGCUUGAAGCUCUCCGAUGCUUUCACAAUUUUCUUUGUCCACUCCAACAUUUCGAAGUAUUUCAUUCAAUAGAGCAACUUGAGAGUACUGUUGGGAAACGCAAAUCCAUGCAUACUUCUUAAAGUUACCCUUCACUCUUUGAUCAUUGUAUAUUUUCUGAGCUAGUGUUGUUUUUCCAACUCCUCCUGUUCCAACAAUUGCCAUCUUGUAAGCCUUCUUGUCCUUGUGUUCUAGCACCAACCCUACCAAUCUAUUGGUAGCAUGUAUGAUCUCUUUUCCAACAAGAUUUGGUUCUACCAGGUGGGAUGUUUUUCUCAUAUUUGAUACUAAUACUCUAUCAAUAGGUUCUGUUUCAAACUUGAAAUUUGUACCUAACUCUUUAAUCAUCUCUAUUCUUUUGUUGAGGCCUCUAAUCUGUACCGCAAUCUCAUGACGUGUCUUUAGAUUCAAAAAGCAAGAGAAAGUUGCAAAUCCAUUGCAUGUAAUUAAUUUUCUUGAUAAUGAUGAAGAGUUUUCUCCUAGUAGAUUGCUCCCUUUAAACCUGACCAUGUCAAUUAUAUCAUCAGCAUCAUACAUUGCAUCCUUCAGCUCACCAAUCCAAUUACUAACUGCUAAGUCUUCAAUCCUCCUCCGGUCAGCAUCUUUCAGAAAACACUGUAUUUGUGUCAUUGUUCGUUGCAGGUCACUAAGCUCUUGUUUAACACCUAGUAUCUGUAUCGCUUCCUCUAUAAUAAGUUCUUGGAGCUUUUGGAUGCAUGAUCCCGCAAAAGAAAAUAAUAUGGUUGCCAUUAGGUGAAUCCCUGAAGCAGACCCACCACCACCAAUAUAUCUUUUCAGAGCUAAGAAAACCAGUAAUAUGAGGGACUAGCUAGUGAGUUUCCUUGAGCAAGCUUUCACAGUGUUAUUCCAUAAACGAUUGAACUUGGACCUGAAAUUUAUAAAGUUUACAGCAGUAUGUCAAAUCCGUACGCACUUGAAAGAUGUACAACACCACAUGCUCCUAUGAGUACUCAUUAUAUUCUGUAAACUACUACUUGACAUAAUCUCACACUGAUUGCGAAGAGAAUAAAGGAUAUGUAAAUGAUGAAAGCACCUAGGAAAAAUUCACACCAUGCACUAUCGGGCAGAUAGACAAAACCAUCUUGGGUGGACUUAGGUGCAUCCAUCCAUGAGUUUUAGACUCCCUUAUGCACUAUGUUCCAGACUAAAACCCAUGUAAUGGAUCUUUGAUUUCCUUUCACACUAGCCAUUUGUGGAUAUUAUUCUUGUUUUUUGUGCAUUUAUAACUUCAUCUACAAUAAGGACUGAUUGCUAUGCAAAUAGGUCUAUCCUGCUAGUAGAUAGCACCUAGCCUUCCGGAACUCAGGCUUCUGCUUGUAGUUGACUGAGUUUACAUGUUUUUGCUUUGACUUGCCAUUAUAUCUGUAUGUGGAAAGUAUACUCCUUAUUUUUUCAGUGUAAUUGUCUCUUGUGUGCACAUUUAUUUCUGACUUAAGCGCUAGUUCCUGCUCAGCUAAAUAGAAAGAUAAACAUCAAAUGACUCAAACUGACUGAUUUGCAUAUUCUAGCAAUGUUUCCUUUCUAGCAACCUAACUGGUCACAUAUUUCCAUGCUCACAUAUUUCCAACCCUCCUCUCAUACUAAAAACAGCUUUAAAUUUUCAAGAGUUGGUCGACUCAUUUAGCUUCUUUCAUCCAUAAAUCUACUCCAGAAAAUCUGACCUUUCAAGUGCUAGUAAUGUUACAUUGCAAGUCAAAAGAAUAUAGGAGGCUGCAGGAUUUCAUUUCCAUGAAUGAGAAAUGGACGUAACUUGUAACAAUUCUUGGAAGAAGUUAGAAGAUUCCAGUGCGCUCAAGUGCACAAGCCUUACCUGAAUCAAAGACCUAUUUUCAACAGGCCUGACUGACAAUAGAAGUCAAGGAUGCAAGAUCAUCCACCAGCAGCAACAACAGUUUGUUUCUGAAGGUCAACUCAAUACUGAAGGAAGAGGAACAAAGACUAAUUGCUCAAAUAAUAUCCCUCAAUGAACUGAACAUCGAUAGCCAAUAUGUGGUCGUCACCAUGAAAGAGUCACGAUUACUCUGCUUGAAAGGGAAAGAAAAAUGGAUAAAACUGAGAAGGGUAGUUGAAUUGAGAAAUAAAGAAUCUCUGGAUAGUACGGACCUUUGUGCACUACCAGAACUGCAAGCAGAUGACCUUAUUCUUCCUUGACUGGAGAAGACCCAGAGGAUCACUUCAAGCAGCAGUGUGAGGCAGUAAAUUCGACAGAAUUCACAAUGGUAUCCCUCGAAAAAAAAAUAUCAACCGACAAUGAUACACGCCUGCAACUGCAACACAAGUUUGUGAGACUACUGACACUUCGUAACUAUGAAUUAAUCUUAAUGGAACACAUUGUGCUAACCAAUUAAUAGGCAGAUACGGAAUGAAGGAAAUACACCUCUUUCAAAGACAGUACUGUCUCCCAAACCAGAUUGCCUCGCAUCCUCCUCUCCUUUUCCUCACUAUAGCAGAGGAAAUGUGAUGAGUAUUUAUCACUUCAAGCAAUUCACCAUAAUGAAAUAGAAACAGAUAAUUAUGAUGAGCCCAUCACCACAAAAAUGAGUAGUACAGUGUGGUAUGAGCUAUAAGGAGUUAGCAUUCUGUCAUUUUAUUUUGUGAUUUAAAACGAUGUAAUAAAUUGGGACAAUAUUUAGUAUCAUGCAAAAGAAACCUCUACUAUGAUUGUUUGAUUCACCAUGAGCAGACUUAUGGUAAUGACGAUGGAAACCAUGAGCAGAGCAAAAAACAUACCCUGAGCAGAGGCAGAGCAAACCAGAGCUAAAGGACGCAAAUCAGCAGAGAGGUAGCUGGAAACUGGAGAGCCAUCACUUCCUGGCUAAAAGCUUCAUCUUCCUUGUGUCACAUGAAUUGUGCAGCUGAAGGAGCAACUACUCUUCAAUCAUCUCUCUAACAGAAAGAAAAAUGAAGUGGUGCAUAAUCAACACAUGCAAAUCAAGCUUGAGCUAGGAGGAGAAAGAUUAUGAAAUCUGAAUCGUUAUGGACUAACUGUUCAAUUCGAGCUUACCAAACUGAAAGGAUAUGAUGCAGAGACAGAGGAGGAGGAUGAAAACGCAAGGAGCAGUUCCUACUGAAGCAUCCUCUCUAUUCCUCCUCUUAUCGGCAUCACUUGAGCAUCGAGAAAAUGAAUUCUCUGGCAGAAAAUAGUGGACAAAGUAUAGAACAGAUAAAUGUGUGACAACCACACAAUCACUGAAAACCAACAGAUCACACGUUAACUCCUGGAAAAAGUGGAGACACUAGAAAAUGAAUUCUCUAGCAGAAAACAAGUGCAUGAUCAACGAAAUGAGAAGAAAUAGGUGCAUGAUGAAGACACGUAUGUGAAGCGUGACUUAGGAAGAGAGAGAGAGGAAAGAAAACAUCCGAACCCUUUAUGGACCAGACAAUCAAUUUGAGCUUACCAAAUUAAACAACGCAGAAACAGAGGAGCCAGUUGAAAACCCAAAUAGCACUUCCUACUCAACCAUCAUCCCUGUUCCUCCUCUUAUUGACAUCACUUGAGCAGCGAGAAAAUGAAAUCGUGCAGGAAGUUUGUAUGUAGAUUCACCAAUACUUCCCCCUUGCAACAGCGUUGGAUCUCAUUGAUCAGAAAAGCUUGGAAUUUCAGUGCAGUGGCAAGUGCAAUGACCUAACCUUGUAUAAGAAGAUGCAGAUAUGUCAUUGUUGAACAGGUCAUCUGUGGUUGGCGUCGGCGGCCGAGCGGGUCAAGGUCUCCGUCCUCUAGCAUGGGGAAGGGGCCAUGUAGCGUCGUCUAGCCAGUGACAUGCAACUGUAACGAUGGCACGUUACACCUAACAAGGGUAUUGAAAUCUGCCUAAUCUCCAUGCCCAGACACAAGGUCAAGGUCUGUGGUAUGGCCAUCGCUGUCAAGUGUGGAAGGUGAUUGACAAACAAUUGCAACGUCCCCUUGUUCAGACAGCAGUACUACACAGGCAGUCUGAACUUGUAUAGGAAUUGUGGCAUUUUCUGGCCCGAUUUUGAAACCCAAAUUGCUGUACGAUGAAAUGAACAAAAGCACUGAACAGUCAGGCCCCUGCAAAUUUUUCCAGGAUAUUUACUUUAUUCAUUCAAUUCCACUUUGCUGAGUGUUUUUUUCUCUUUUGCCGAGGGCCAAAAUUUGCCAAGUGCCUUUGGAUAUUUUUGUCGAGUGUAAGUCUUUGCUAAGUGUUUCCACUAACAACACCGGGCAAACAUACUAACGGAUGUACACGUGGCACGUUCUUUGCCGAGUGUCCAUGCGCGUUUUUGCCUAGUGUCUUUUGAUCUGUUUACCAUGUGUCGCGUUGUUUGCCGAGUGUUUUUGUGUUGACACUCGACAAAUAGCUUCUUUGCCGAGUGCUUGAUAGAAUACACUCGGCAAAGAACUUGGCACUCGGCAAACCCACAAUUUCCAGUAGUUUUGGGAGAGGUUCUUCACGUCAGGGAGCUCAAAAACGUGUCACUUUUUAUCUUUGAAUAAGAAACCUGUGACAUUGAAUGUGGCUUUAAAGAGUAAGCUGCAAAGUGGAAACUGCUUCCGAUAAAAGUAGUUGGAACUCUUUUUUUAAAAAAAAAGCAUUAUGCUGGAAACAUAUAAACAGAAAUGAGUACGAUUUCACCCAUAUUACGUGUAAGUUGCAGGCACCGGCCAAGAUAUGAUUUUAACCUGCAUUUCUUGUCGCUACUACAGAAUGAAUCUGCCUCGCAUUUCUCCUUGGUUGGUUCACAGAAGAUGCAUGACUAAAAUAAGUAAGAGCAGUUUUUUUUAUAUACAUUAAUGUUGGUAGGAACAGCGAAACAAGAGCUCACUUUUCCUAGCAGCAACAGAAAGCACGCAACAGCCGAUGCAGUUCUUCGCAUUACAAGAUCACAAUCUACAACAGGUGCAAGUUCAUCACAGAAUUAAUUGAGAAACUCAAGUAGCAGUGUAGCACACGUUUUCAUUCAUACAUACACCACAAGGAUGGUCAAACACUUAAAUAACAAGACGCAAGCCUUCCCACAGUCUAGAAACAAGAGAGGAAGCCGUCUGCUCAUCUUGAUUAAUUGCUGUGGUUAGCUCAUAUUUUAUUCUUUUUAUUGAUGGAAGUGGUUUGCUCAUCCUGAUUGCUGUGGUUCUUGAACAAUCAUUCUCCAGUCCUUCAUCCAGAAGCAUGCACUCCUUCCAUGCAUACAACGUCAUGUAGCUUCACGACCAAUCACAUGAUUAAGGAAAGAUAGCUCCAGUCACUUCCAAUGGCAAGAAAACAGAGCACGAAUGGAAAGCGGAGGAGAAAUAAAUAUGCAAAAUAUCCAGUGAAUGGUCAUACCUUGCACAUUCGUAGCUAUAUAAAAGUAUCACUCCUCCCAAGGGUAGACAUCCAGGUCUUCUCCGUGCAGCUGUUGGUGACGCUCUUGGAGUCCAGCUAGCCAUUGUGAGGAGACAUCUUCCAUAUCCUCUGUCAGAAACAGCUGGUGCAACUUGUCCAAACCCUCAACACACCUCAGAGCUUCACAUAGACCUACACGCAACAGUUUCAUCUGGGGAAUAUUUGAGAUCCUCUCCAGGCAUUCACAAUAUGAGACUGAAAGUUCCUCAGACAGAAAUGGGAAGUUCUCCACCACCUUAAUAUUGUCCAUGAAUUUUAAUCGGAGCUCCUUCAAGCUGGUGGCUUCCUGUCCAAGCUGCCGUGGAAGAGCUCUCAGCUUGGGGCAGCUGUAAAAAUCCAGGCCCUUCAAACGUGGCAGCAGCUGCAUCCUUGGAGGUGGGGCUUCCCCCUUUUGCUUUGCAGCAGCUCCAUCCUCUCCACCUUCCUUACCUGCUGCCGUUGCUUCUUCUUCUUCAACUACAAAGGUCCACUCCUCCCAGUUGGGCAUAUACCCGAUGGACAACGUUUCAAGCUUGGGGAAAGCAACUGCCUCUGGAGAUCCGAAAUUACCCACCCCCAAGCCAAUAAAUUCAGGUCCAAUCUUGGUGACUGCAGUUGCUCCCUGGAUUCUCAGGAAUUUCAAGUUGGGAAGGUGCCCGAUUGGAGGAAGUUGCGUAUAGGAUUUGCAAUUUUUAAGUAUCAAGUAUUUUAGUGAAGGCAAAUGUCUAGCAGCACCUAACCAGGUAGGAAACCUCCGACCACAAAAUCGCUUGAAACGUAGAGCUUCCAGGUUUUUUGGAGGUAUUAGCUGAUCAAAUACCUUCUCAAUAUUACUAAUAACCUCUUCAGAGUAUGGUUCCUCCGCACAUUCAGUGCAACGUAAAUCUAAUUCUUUAAGAUGCUUUUUAUUAGUUAGUAGAGAAUCUAUACUGCAAACAGCAGAUGCUUCCAAUUUUGUAAUAAGAAGGUGCCUCAACUGCAAAAGAGGACCCAACUCUUCUAGAUUCCAUCCAUCUUGCAUUGCAGUGCUAUAAUCACUUCUACCACAAAUUGGAAAUCCAUCUAAAUUAUUGAGGUAUUUCAAACCCCCAAUACCUUUUGGAACCUUAUUUAUUGCCGAACCUUUGAGACCAAGACUCCUUAAGUUAAAUAAUCUACAGAUUGCUAAAGGAAGGCUGUGCAAACUGUCACACUUGUUCAAUUCCAAUACCUCAAGGUUUUUGAGAGAACCAAUAGACUCCGGAAGGCAAGUUAUGCUGGUGUCAUUAAGAUUCAACAAGCGCAAAUGAAUCAAACUUCCAAUAUAAUCUGGAAUAUUUUCUACACUUGACCCACUUAAAUCCAAAACACGAAUAUAUGGAAAUCGCUUGAAAAUUGAAGAUUCAACUACCAAUGACUUGCCACAGAAAUUUAUUGAAGUUCUCACUUUGAGUUGAUGCCUGUCCACAAUAGGUAAAGAGAUCAUAUCAUUGCAUGUUACAACUGACACACGUCGCAAUUUAGAUAUACUCCUGCAAUCCAACGAUCGUGGGUCUCCAAAGAAACACUCUUCUCUUGAUAAAUGCUGAGCAAGUUGUCUUAAGAGGUCAUGCAUUUUGCACCUGUAUGGUUCUGCAUACCGAGGAUCUGGUAGGAGGAGGUUCCUUGAGAUCAACUCAAAGAAGUAUUCUUCUGCUGUAUCUUCUAGUAGUUGGUUAUUUUGCUUUUCAAUAAAGCCCUCGGCAAUCCAGAGCCUGACAAGAUCAUCACAACGUAGUGUCCGAUCUUCAGGAUACAAAGCACAGUAAAGAAAACAUUGCUUCAGGUUUUGUGGUAGCUGAUCAUAACUCAAGUACAAAGCACCUCUGAGUUCAGCAGGGAGCUUACUUAUGGACCAAGCAUCAUUGUCUAGAAUCUUCUGCCAUUCACUCUCUGUUGUCUCCUUCACUGCGAGAACACUAGCCAUAGUCCUAAUUGCAAGAGGAAGGCCACCACAUUUCCGAACAAUUUCCAUUCCUUUGUCCUGCACGUUGUGCACUUCUUUCUCAUCAGAUAUGUUCAUACUCUUCCAAAGUAGCUCCCAUCCUACUUCCACUGACAUCAAUUCGACUCGAUGCAUGUGUUCCACUCCAAUUGCCUUUGCAACUGUGUCAUGUCGAGUUGUUGUUACAAUUGUUACUUGAGCUGCAGCAUUGAGUGGAGUUCUUAGUAAAUUGGUCCAUACAUCAGACUCCCACAAGUCAUCCAACACAAGGAAAAAGCUGUCUCCUUCAAUGGCUUCUGCAAGUUUGGCUUGAAGCUCUCCGAUGCUUUCACAAUUUUCUUUGUCCACUCCAACAUUUCGAAGUAUUUCUUUCAAUAGAGCAACUUGAGAGUACUGUUGGGAAACGCAAAUCCAUGCAUACUUCUUAAAGUUACCCUUCACUCUUUGAUCAUUGUAUAUUUUCUGAGCUAGUGUUGUUUUUCCAAUUCCUCCUGUUCCAACAAUUGCCAUCUUGUAAGCCUUCUUGUCCCUGUGUUCUAGCACCAACCCUACCAAUCUAUUCAUAGCAUGUAUGAUCUCUUUUCCAACAAGAUUUGGUUCUACCAGGUGGGAUGUUUUUCUCAUAUUUGAUACUAAUACUCUAUCAAUAGGUUCUGUUUCAAACUUGAAAUUUGUACCUAACUCUUUAAUCAUCUCUAUUCUUUUGGUGAGGCCUCUAAUCUGUACCGCAAUCUCAUGACGUGUCUUUAGAUUCGAAAAGCAAGAGAAAGUUGCAAAUCCAUUGCAUGUAAUUAAUUUUCUUGAUAAUGAUGAAGAGUUUUCUCCUAGUAGAUUGCUCCCUUUAAACCUGACCAUGUCAAUUAUAUCAUCAGCAUCAUACAUUGCAUCCUUCAGCUCACCAAUCCAAUUACUAACUGCUAAGUCUUCAAUCCUCCUUCGGUCAGCAUCUUUCAGAAAACACUGUAUUUGUAUCAUUGUUCGUUGCAGGUCACUAAGCUCUUGUUUAACACCUAGUAUCUGUAUCGCUUCCUCUAUAAUAAGUUCUUGGAGCUUUUGGAUGCAUGAUCCCGCAAAAGAAAAUAAUAUGGUUGCCAUUAGGUGAAUCCCUGAAGCAGACCCACCACCACCAAUAUAUCUUUUCAGAGCUAAGAAAACCAGUAAUAUGAAGGACUAGCUAGUGAGAUUCCUUGAACAAGCUUUCACAGUGUUAUUCCAUAAACGAUUGAACUUGGACCUGAAAUUUAUAAAGUUUACAGCAGUAUGUCAAAUCCGUACACACUUGAAAGACGUACAACACCACAUGCUCCUAUGAGUACUCAUUAUAUUCUGUAAACUACUACUUGACAUAAUCUCACACUGAUUGCGAAGAGAAUAAAGGAUAUGUAAAUGAUGAAAGCACCUAGGAAAAAUUCACACCAUGCACUAGCGGGCAUAUAGACAAAACCAUCUUGGGUGGACUUAGGUGCAUCCAUCCAUGAGUUUUAGACUCCCUUAUGCACUAUGUUCCAGACUAAAACCCAUGUAAUGGAUCUUUGAUUUCCUUUCACACUAGCCAUUUGUGGAUAUUAUUCUUGUUUUUUGUGCAUUUAUAACUUCAUCUACAAUAAGGACUGAUUGCUAUGAAAAUAGGUCUAUCCUGCCUGCUAGUAGAUAGCACCUAGCCUUCCGGAACUCAGGCUUCUGCUUGUAGUUGACUGAGUUUACAUGUUUUUGCUUUGACUUGCCAUUAUAUCUGUAUGUGGAAAGUAUACUCCUUAUUUUUUCAGUGUAAUUUUCAAGAGUUGGUCGACUCAUUUAGCUUCUUUCAUCCAUAAAUCUACUCCAGAAAACCUGACCUUUCAAGUGCUAGUAAUGUUACAUUGCAAGUCAAAAGAAUAUAGGAGGCUGCAGGAUUUCAUUUCCAUGAAUGAGAAAUGGACGUAACUUGUAACAAUUCUUGGAAGAAGUUAGAAGAUUCCAGUGCGCUCAAGUGCACAAGCCUUACCUGAAUCAAAUACCUAUUUUCAACAGGCCUGACUGACAAUAGAAGUCAAGGAUGCAAGAUCAUCCACCAGCAGCAACAACAGUUUGUUUCUGAAGGUCAACUCAAUACUGAAGGAAGAGGAACAAAGACUAAUUGCUCAAAUAAUAUCCCUCAAUGAACUGAACAUCGAUAGCCAAUAUGUGGUCGUCACCAUGAAAGAAAAAUGGAUAAAACUGAGAAGGGUAGUUGAAUUGAGAAAUAAAGAAUCUCUGGAUAGUACAG